rnacentral:rRNA from 1 species
UACGAAGGGGGCUAGCGUUGCUCGGAAUCACUGGGCGUAAAGGGUGCGUAGGCGGGUCUUUAAGUCAGGGGUGAAAUCCUGGAGCUCAACUCCAGAACUGCCUUUGAUACUGAGGAUCUUGAGUUCGGGAGAGGUGAGUGGAACUGCGAGUGUAGAGGUGAAAUUCGUAGAUAUUCGCAAGAACACCAGUGGCGAAGGCGGCUCACUGGCCCGAUACUGACGCUGGAGGCACGAAAGCGUGGGGAGCAAACAGGG